ACUGCCUACUACUGAGGCUUAUUUAACAAGUUAUAUCUUACUGUUUUGGCUCUUACUUUAUAAUUAAUAUUCUCAGAAUCUAAUGGGAGACUUGCCCGUCAGCAACGAAUAAUAAUCCACGCAAGUUGCAAGGCAUCCCAGCAAGACAUACAAUACACCCAAGACACUAUCCUUCCUGUUCAAGAUGACAACGUCUAUGUUGCUGACUCAGAGCGAGCUAACAAAAGGACAUGUAUUGCUCUGGAGGACAUGUAUCUAAACAACAUGGCAAGACUCAAACCACCACGAAGUUGCGACCUCCCAAAAGUCCAACAUCUAUGCAAGAAUUGUUAUUAAUUCUUAAGAAUGGAGAAAUUUGUCCACUACAUUACUCAGAGAUAGAAAGUUAUGUUUUUAUUUACUAACUUUUUAAAGACCAAGCGGAGUUUAUAAUACUUCUACCAAGUUGCUUUUUU